GAAAUGUCCGCAGAUCACCUAGAUGCAAAAUCAGUAUCGACAACCAAUGUUCAUUGUGGGUCACUAAUGCUCUGAACGCCUGGGUGAAUAUGGAAGAAUUUGAGCUCUAACAAGAGUUCAUAUAGAGGAAAAUGCAUUCCUGGACUCUUUCGGCUCUCUGGAGAGUUCAGUCCUUUGUGCAUAAUUGGUGAUCCGAGUGCUCACAAUGCUGUGUUUGCCAUUUGAGAGAAGGCAGUACCAGGCUGGGUCAAACCAGCUUAGUUCCAAGCCACUGGGUGACCUGGCUCGAUGGCAUGCUUGCCUGCUCCCAAUGACCCGUAUGAUUUCAUUACUAAGAGCAAAUUAAUCCCGGAAAAGAUGGUGAUGGAUGAUGGGGGCAUGAACAUGCUCAUGUCUGACCCCGCCGCUGUCUCGGGACGAUUGCUUCUCUGCCAACCUGCUGUUGAUUGACAGACUCGCAGACGAAGUUGUGCUACUGUGCUGCCAUCAUUCACCUGAUCCGGUCCCGCCCAUGUGUAACAACCAGCUUGGGUUUGAUAUGGGCAAAAGAACAAAAAAUUAAUUGAAGAAAUGACAAAUAUCCGAGCGAUAGAGACACGGUUGUUUGUCUUUGUGAUUAAAAGGCGAGGAGACUGUCCUUUUAAUCAGAGAGCGUGGAUUAUUACAACCUUGAUUAAAGCUGCCAAAUCUUCACAUUGUCACCUCUCAUCAAGGCAAACAGGUAGGAUGCGGUUUUGAUUAAUUCUACCUAGUAAGUGUGCGAAAGACAGACCUAGUGUGUUUGUGAUUGCCCAAAGGACACGUCAUGACAACCAUCAAAGCAAUGCAAAAAUGGCAUGUUGAGCUUUCAGAUCAUAAUAUUUUGUCACUACAGCUUAAGCAUUUAAUGUAAAACGUGGACGUAUAUUUCAGACAUGAAGUGAAAAGCCAAACCACCGCAUUUGGCCACAUUUGCCUCUUUUCUUUUAUUCUGUACCUGAGUAAGAGAUUAAGCAGUAGAUGAGUAAGAUUCAUAUACACAAAAUGAACAAUGGUGGUCGCUUCACAUGUCAGUCAUUUCUCAUCUAAAUGUCUGGCUAUCAUAUUGCAAACAAUAUUCUCCUGUUUUUGUAUUCUUUUUGGUUAUAUUUUUGUUAUGAAGUAUGACCUCUGGUGCUCACAUUGAGACAGCUGCAAUAUCUCGUCCCUGAAUGCAGGGUUUGUGUUUGGUGAAGCAGAAGUUGAAAGCCUUUAUUUAAGGGCUCGUGUUUAAGGGUUCACCGGCCCUGACCUCUCCUCUAAUGUCCCACACUACUAACUCCGGUUGCACGUAAUUCAUGCCAUCAACCAAAAGCACACACAUUUUUCGAUCUCUGUCUUUAACCCUCUUUUGGGUCCUGAGCUUUUGCCCCAUACUGCGGAUCACUGACCCCUGUCGCACUGCAGGGAGGCAUCCCAUCACACCUGGCAUCAGCCGAGACCCCCAUCAGCCAGUCCAGUCGAGAAUACCCCUGGGAGUGGUUCAGUUCAUCUCCACACCACCUCUAGAUACAAACAUGUAUGCACACUUUAUUCUUGAAGUCUUGAGGUUUCAAAAGAUUUGCUGACUGAUUCACUUUGGAGAACAUUGAGGGCGUCCUUCAGUUUGCUUCCUGCUCUUCCCUGUGGCGUUGAGACAUUGACACAAACUCGAGUCAAAGACAGAUAGUUGUCUCGUACAUAAAUUUCUUCCAUAGGGAACAAAUGUUGGCAGAACAAUCCAAACAGAAGUUCCAAAAAAUGAAAUGCGUUAAAGGGUUUGAAUAACUGUUAUGUUAAAGCCUCAAUAGCACUCACUGUGAAGGGUGAAACCUUUAGAGUAGGAUAUAGAAAAGAUAGCCUCUAAAUGAAACUGACCUAAAAGCUGCUUAGGACUGUACAGGCAUUUGAACGGAUCAGUGAACACAAUAGGUUCUCACAGGAACAUGUCACUAUUUUGCAAGGUUAAAAUUUCGUAGGAAUUUGAACAAUGUGAAUCGAUCAAAAUGUAGGAUUGUCAUGAAAUAAGAAAGAAUAAAGCUUUACCCUUAACCCUACCCAUAAACCUAAUGUCACUGUACACACACGAAUAAGGUUGUACGAAUUCACAUAUAUGUGACUCUGGACCACAAAACUAUCGUAAU